UACGUAGGUGGCGAGCGUUGUCCGGAAUUAUUGGGCGUAAAGAGCGUGUAGGUGGGAUAGUAAGUCUCAUGUUAAAGUGCGGGGCUCAACCCCGUGAAGCGUGGGAAACUGCUAUUCUUGAGUGCCGGAGAGGAAAGCGGAAUUCCCAGUGUAGCGGUGAAAUGCGUAGAUAUUGGGAGGAACACCAGUGGCGAAGGCGGCUUUCUGGACGGUGUCUGACACUGAGGCGCGAAAGCCAGGGGAGCGAACGGG
rnacentral:rRNA from 1 species